GCCGGCAUAGCUCAGCAGGUAGAGCAGCGGUUUCGUAAACCGCAGGUCGUGGGUUCGAAUCCCGUUGCCGGCU
rnacentral:tRNA from 1 species